rnacentral:rRNA from 1 species
AGUGAACGCUGGCGGCAGGCUUAACACAUGCAAGUCGAGCGAGCGGCGGACGGGUGAGUAAUGUCUGGGAAACUGCCUGAUGGAGGGGGAUAACUACUGGAAACGGUAGCUAAUACCGCAUACCAUCAGAUGUGCCCAGAUGGGAUUAGCUAGUAGGUGGGGUAAUGGCUCACCUAGGCGACGAUCCCUAGCUGGACUGAGAGGAUGACCAGCCAAACUGGAACGGAGACACGGUCCAGACUCCGACGGGAGGCAGCAGUGGGGAAUAUUGCAGAAAGGGAGCAAGCCUUAUGCAGCCAUGCCGCGUGUGUGAAGGAGGCCUUCGGGUUGUAAAGCACUUUCAGCGAGGAGGCGUUACUCGCAGAAGAAGCACCGGCUAACUCCGUGCCAGCCGCCGCGGUAAUUC